rnacentral:rRNA from 1 species
AUUGAACGCUGGCGGCAGGCCUAACACAUGCAAGUCGAGCGAGCGGCGGACGGGUGAGUAAUGUAUGGGGACUGCCCGAUAGCGGGGGAUAACUACUGGAAACGGUAGCUAAUACCGCAUACUAUCGGCUACCCCAUAUGGUAUUAGCUAGUCGGUGAGGUAAUGGCUCACCUAGGCGACGAUCCCGAGCUGGUCUGAGAGGAUGAUCAGCCACACGGGGACUGAGACACGGCCCAGACUCCUACGGAGGCAGCAGUGGGGAAUAUUGCACAAUGGGCGAAAGCCUGAUGCAGACAUGCCGCGUGUAUGAAGAAGGCCCUAGGGUUGUAAAGUACUUUCAGUAGGGAGGCGUUACCGACAGAAGAAGCACCGGCUAACUCCGUGCCAGCAGCCGCGGUAAUAC